GCAUGGCUCUUAUAAAGCCCAGGAGCUGAGGCCAGAGGCAGUUCCCUGUCAGCAGCCAGAGAGGCAGGAGCUCUCUAAGCUAGGAUAUGGGAAGAAGCCUGACUGCAGGAGUUCAGAACAGAUAAACCUUAUCACUGCCAGUGAAAAGAAAACUUUGAAGGGAAAAAAAAAAAGAGAAGAAUGUUCUCCCAGGAUUACUAUGUUCUGCACAUCUUGUCUUUGCAACUUUUCUGUGUUCCUAUCUUUGGUGUGUAUGGAGUUGCUGUGAUAAAAGUUAUGAAGAAAGAAAACAGCUGUUAGAAACCUAGGGAGCUUUAUGCAAACCUGUUCUGCUCCCUACCCUCAGACAUCCUUCCAAAAUAACUGGCUCAAAUAUCCAAAAAUUCAGAGUUUAUAGUUGAAGAAUCAAAUAGACAUAACUCUACUUUUGCAGGAAAACUCAAUUGUUUGUACAAAAAUAGAAAUAUGGGAAGAGAAGCUGGUUGCAAACUUUUUAGGAUUUAUACUUUUUCCUUCUUGGCAUUCAGAAAUCAUAUACAGAAUGUGAUAUUAAAGGCCACAUAAAGUGAGUUUUACUGGCUUUUCAAAGAACUAAAAGUUAAUAUUGUUUUUUAAAUAAAAAGGAUAAAAUUGG